rnacentral:rRNA from 1 species
CUAGUGUAGCGGUGAAAUGCGUAGAGAUUAGGAGGAACACCAGUGGCGAAGGCGACUUUCUGGGCAACAACUGACGCUGAGGCACGAAAGUGUGGGGAGCAAACAGGAUUAGAUACCCUGGUAGUCCACACCGUAAACGAUGGAUACUAGGAGUUGGCAAAAAUAUUGUCGGUUCCGCAGUUAACGCAUUAAGUAUCCCACCUGGGGAGUACGACCGCAAGGUUAAAACUCAAAGGAAUUGACGGGGGCCCGCACAAGCAGUGGAGUAUGUGGUUUAAUUCGAAGCAACGCGAAGAACCUUACCAGGGCUUGACAUAUACAGGAAUAUAUAAGAGAUUAUAUAGCUCUACGGAGUCUGUAUACAGGUGGUGCAUGGUUGUCGUCAGCUCGUGUCGUGAGAUGUUGGGUUAAGUCCCGUAACGAGCGCAACCCCUAUGGCUAGUUGCUAACAUUAAGUUGAGGACUCUAGCAAGACUGCCGUUGUUAAAACGGAGGAAGGUGGGGACGACGUCAAAUCAUCAUGCCCUUUAUGUCCUGGGCUACACACGUACUACAAUGGGUAAGACAGAGGGAAGCGAAAGUGCGAACUGGAGCAAAACCCUAAACUUAUUCUCAGUUCGGAUUGGAGUCUGAAAUUCGGCUCCAUGAAGCUGGAAUUGCUAGUAAUGGCAGGUCAGCAUACUGCCGUGAAUACGUUCCCGGGCCUUGUACACACCGCCCGUCACACCAUGAGAGUUGGGAAUACCCGAAGCCUGUGAGCUAACUUUUAAAGAGGCAGCAGUCGAAGGUAGAAUCAAUGAUUGGGGUGAAGUCGUAACAAGGUAGCCGUAUCGGAAGGUGCGGCUG